UUCAUCCUGUUUAUCAGGAACCCACUCGUGAGCUAAUGGGCCCACUCCUGUGACAACAGCAUCAAUCCCUUCACAAGCCAUCAUGGCCUGAUCAACUCUUAAAGGCCCCACCUUUUAAUACAGUAACAAUGACAAUUAAGUUCCUGACACAUGAACUUCUGGAGGACACCUGAAACCAUAGCACCGUGGCUACCUCUGCUGGGCCUUCAAGGAUGCAGAUGAUGCGGAGUUGACUUUUUAAAGAGGGAAGGAGUUUGAGAUAGGAGAAGAGUGACAAGAGAUAGGGUGGGAGCGCUAGGCUGGAAUCAGGUCCUGAAGGGCUUUGUGUGCCUUGCUGAGGACUGUGGACUUGAUACGCCAGGCAAUAGGGCACCGGUGAAGAAUAUGGAGAUAGAGAGUUAAGUCAGAUUGGUAUUUCCAUAAGAAUUAAUCUUGCACCAGCGUGGAUGAUGAGUAGUAUGGGCUGAAACUAGAAGUCAGGGAAGCCAACUAGGAUGUUGUAGUGACUAGCCAAGCAAGAAUUAUGAGCACCACCUGCAGAAAGAAUGGAGAAGUGGGCAUAGUUUUGAGAACUAUUUGGAAGUUUCAGGAGUGAAGACCCUGUAAGAAAUUGACUAUUUUGGAGAGAAGGAGAACUCCAAAAUGUCUUUUCAGUUUUCAGCUUGACUCACUGGGUGGUGAUAUUGUUCAUGGAAAUAAAAAUGUAGGAGGAAGAGCCAUUUUGGAGAAAAGAAGGUGACAAAUGGUUGCUGCUUACAUACCCCUUUGCUACUACUGAAACAGGGAAUGACUUUUGUCCUCAUCAUCACAGAAUGACUACACAACCUCCAAGCACUGCACCUGUGAUCCAGGUGGGAAAACAU